AGGAGGAACAAUCUCAGUGGCCGGGGCCAGAUCUGGAGCCCUGGAUUCAGCUCCCGCAGUAACUGCGGAGUUCUCAGUGUGCAGGGGCCUGGAUGCCCCCGGGGCGGG
rnacentral:pre_miRNA from 1 species